UACGAAGGGGGCUAGCGUUGCUCGGAAUUACUGGGCGUAAAGGGGGCGUAGGCGGCUUUGUAAGUUAGAGGUGAAAGCCCGGAGCUUAACUCCGGAACUGCCUUUAAGACUGCAUCGCUAGAAUUGUGGAGAGGUGAGUGGAAUUCCGAGUGUAGAGGUGAAAUUCGUAGAUAUUCGGAAGAACACCAGUGGCGAAGGCGACUCACUGGACACAUAUUGACGCUGAGGUGCGAAAGCGUGGGGAGCAAACAGG
rnacentral:rRNA from 1 species